UCACAAGUUCUUUCAAAUACUGACAUCAAUGUUUUUGCCAUUUCCACUUGGGCUUGGAUAUUUUUUCUGGAUAGAAGUAAAAUAAGUCUAAUCUCUUUUGUUGUGCCAACUGCCCAAGGAUGGUAUUGAAAUACAGUUCUCAUGUAACUCCUAAGCCUUUUCCUCCCCCAGCUAAAUUCCUCCAGUCUCCUCAGCCAUUCCUCAUGGUUUCUAAAUCCUUCACUAUGUCUUCUUACUGCACAUCCCUCAUUUCUCCCCCAAAAGAAACUGAACUUUUAAGAUCUAGCUUUGGAAAGCCCUUAUAUACUCCGUGAUCUCUAUUUUCUGUUCCCUCACUCUCCACCUCAAAGCUAACAUUUAUGGAACCCUAUAUGCCAGCCAGUGGGCCAAAGGGGUUACCUAGAAUCUCACCAAAUCAUCGUCGGAACCCUAUGGGACCGUUCUAAUUCUAUCUUAAUUUCAUAAGUGACAAAAUUGAGGCACAGAGAAAUUAAGUAAUUUGCUUACAUCACACAGUGUAUAAAUGGUGAGGCCAAGAUUCAAAAUCAGAUGAUCAGACUUUGGAGUCUUGUCUCAUAAGCACCACACUCUACAGACUUAUCUGCUCUUAUCUGUAUCCCCAGAACGCUCCUUGUCCAGUGCCUGACACAUAGUAAACACAAAUACUUGGUGAGUGAAUGAGUGAUUCGUGGCUCUUCUCUUGUAUAUAACACCAUCUAUUAAUUUCUUCCUGAAAAUACAAUUCCCCACAUUGAAAACACUACAAGUGUUUUUGACCAGAAAAACUAAAUGGUGUAUGUGGAAAGUCAAAUAAUGCCUGCCAAAAGAUAUAUACAUCCUAAUCCCAUAAAUCUGUGAAAGUGCUACUUUAAAUGGCAAAAGAAAUUUUACAGACAUGAUUAAGUUAAGGGUCUUCACAUGGGGAGAUUAUCCAGGUGGGUCCAAUGCCACAAGUCCCUAGAAGAGGGAGGCAGAAGGGUCAGAGUCAGAACAGGAGAUGGGUUGAGAGAAGCAGGGGUCACAGUCAAAGACAUGUGAGGAUCCUACCCUGCAAGCCUUGAAAAUGGUGGAAGAGCUGUAAGCCAAGGAGCGUGAGUGGCCUCUAGAAGCUGGAAAAGGCAGGGAAACAAAUUGUGCCCGCCCCUCCUCUGGAAGGCCCCAGCCUUGCUCAUGUUGAUUUCAGACUUGUGAUUUCCAGCUGUAAAUAUUUAUCCCUCCUCCAUCUCAAGAAGCAGGUGCUGAUAAAUACAUGUGGAACUGAAUGCUCAGGGAGCAGCAGGACGUACAAAGACUGAGAAUUAAGAAAGUAGAGCUCGCAAGAGAAGACUCCUAAGUCCCUCUAUGGAAAUGAUGGAGUCUUAAAGACAUGGAAUUGCUGCUUUGAAGGUGAUAUACACUCAUAGCAGAUUGAAGUUUGGGAAAUGUAGAGAAGACUCUGUGCCAUUCACAGCGCACUGUGAUGACUCCAGCUGGCACUCUGUUUCAGGAGUGCUAUCGAAACUAGUUGUUGUUGUUGUUCAUUUGUUUGUUUCAAGUGUGAAUUUCAGAACAUGAAAAUAGAAAAUACAAAACUA